CCUACGGGUGGCAGCAGUGAGGAAUAUUGGUCAAUGGGCGCGAGCCUGAACCAGCCAAGUCGCGUGAGGGAAGACGGUCCUAUGGAUUGUAAACCUCUUUUGUCGGGGAGCAAAAGACGCCACGCGUGGCGUUCCGAGAGUACCCGAAGAAUAAGCACCGGCUAAUUCCGUGCCAGCAGCCGCGGUAAUACGGAGGAUGCGAGCGUUAUCCGGAUUUAUUGGGGUUAAAGGGUGCGCAGGCGGAAGAUCAAGCCAGCGGUAAAAUUGAGAGGCUCAACCUCUUCGAGCCGGUGAAACUGGUUUGCUUGAGUGAGCGAGAAGUAUGCGGAAUGCGUGGUGUAGCGGUGAAAUGCAUAGAUAUCACGCAGAACGCCGAUUGCGAAGGCAGCAUACCGGCGCUCAACUGACGCUCAUGCACGAAAGUGUGGGUAUCGAACAGGAUUAGAUACCCCUGUAGUC
rnacentral:rRNA from 1 species